AACGCAUAUUGCGCUCGAGGCCUCGGCCAAGAGCAUGUCUGCCUCAGCGUCGGCUCACCCCUCGCCACCCCCUUUUCCACCUAGCGUGAGAAAACGGACCGGCGGACCUGGCCGUCUCGGUUGAUCGAGCGCUCACCCCGCUCGAUCUGGACCGGGUCGGCUGAAGCCCAGAGGCUUGGAGCAGGACCCCGAUUGCAAGGGCACAGCUUGGUAGGUGGCUUCAUCGCCGCAUGCCGCUGGCGCCCCGAGGGCAGUGCUGCGACUCCUCAAGCCCGCAGGAAAAGAACCUUUGUUUUCGACCUGAGUUCAGGCAAGGCUACCCGCUGAACUUAA
rnacentral:misc_RNA from 1 species